UACGAGGGGGGCAAGCGUUGUUCGGAUUUAUUGGGCGUAAAGGGUGCGUAGGCGGUUUGGCAAGUCUUGUGUGAAAUCUUCGGGCUCAACCCGAAGCCUGCAUAAGAAACUGCCGGGCUUGAGUAUUGGAGAGGUGAGUGGAAUUUCCGGUGUAGCGGUGAAAUGCGUAGAUAUCGGAAGGAACACCUGUGGCGAAAGCGGCUCACUGGACAAUAACUGACGCUGAGGCACGAAAGCUAGGGGAGCAAACAG
rnacentral:rRNA from 1 species